GACGAACGCUGGCGGCGUGCUUAACACAUGCAAGUCGAACGGAAAGGCCCUGCUUUUGUGGGGUGCUCGAGUGGCGAACGGGUGAGUAACACGUGAGUAACCUGCCCUUGACUUUGGGAUAACUUCAGGAAACUGGGGCUAAUACCGGAUAGGAGCUCCUGCUGCAUGGUGGGGGUUGGAAAGUUUCGGCGGUUGGGGAUGGACUCGCGGCUUAUCAGCUUGUUGGUGGGGUAGUGGCUUACCAAGGCUUUGACGGGUAGCCGGCCUGAGAGGGUGACCGGCCACAUUGGGAAUGAGAUACGGCCCAGACUCCUACGGGAGGCAGCAGUGGGGAAUAUUGCACAAUGGGCGGAAGCCUGAUGCAGCAACGCCGCGUGCGGGAUGACGGCCUUCGGGUGGUAAACCGCUUUCGCCUGUGACGAAGCGUGAGUGACGGUAAUGGGGAAAGAAGCACCGGCGAACUACGU
rnacentral:rRNA from 1 species